GAACGCCGGCGGCGUGCCUAACACAUGCAAGUUGAGCGACGAACCAGGGCUUGCCCUGGGGCAAAGCAGCGAACGGGUGAGUAACACGUGGGUAACCUACCCCGAUAACCGGGACAACCCGAGGAAACUCGGGCUAAUACCGGAUGUGCUCACUGGACUUCGGUUCAGUGCGUAAAGGAAGCUUCGGCCUCCGUAUCGGGAGGGGCCCGCGGCCCAUUAGUUUGUUGGUGAGGUAACGGCUCACCAAGACCGCGAUGGGUAGCUGGUCUGAGAGGACGAUCAGCCACACUGGGACUGAGACACGGCCCAGACUCCUACGGGAGGCAGCAGUGGGGAAUCUUGCGCAAUGCGCGAAAGCGUGACGCAGCAACGCCGCGUGGGGGAAGAAGGCCUUCGGGUUGUAAACCCCUUUCAGGAGGGACGAAGGUUCGGCGGUGAAUAGCCGUCCGGACUGACGGUACCUCCACAAGAAGCCCCGGCUAACUACGUG
rnacentral:rRNA from 1 species